rnacentral:rRNA from 1 species
AUUGAACGCUGGCGGCAGGCCUAACACAUGCAAGUCGAGCGAGCGGCGGACGGGUGAGUAAUGUCUGGGAAACUGCCUGAUGGAGGCGGAUAACUACUGGAAACGGUAGCUAAUACCGCAUACCAUCAGAUGUGCCCAGAUGGGGUUAGCUAGUAGGUGGGGUAACGGCGCACCUAGGCGACGAUCCCUAGCUGGUCUGAGAGGAUGACCAGCCAAACUGGCACUGAGAGACGGUCCAGACUCCUACGGGAGGCAGCAGUGGGGAAUAUUGCGCAAUGGGCGCAAGCCUGAUGCAGCCAUGCCGCGGGGGUGAAGAAGGCCUUCGGGUUGUAAAGCUCUUUCAGCGGGGAGGCGUUACCCGCAGAAGAAGCACCGGCUAACUCCGUGCCAGCAGCCGCGGUAAUAC